rnacentral:rRNA from 1 species
UACGUAGGGGGCUAGCGUUGUCCGGAAUCAUUGGGCGUAAAGGGCGCGUAGGUGGCCCCUCAAGCGUGCGGUGAAAGUCAGGGGCUCAACCCCUGAUCGGCCGUGCGAACUGGGGAGCUUGAGCACUGUAGAGGCAGGCGGAAUUCCGGGUGUAGCGGUGGAAUGCGUAGAGAUCCGGAAGAACACCGGUGGCGAAGGCGGCCUGCUGGGCAGUUUUGCUGACACUGAGGCGCGACAGCGUGGGGAGCAAACAGG